GUGCAGUGGUCAUAGGGAGAGCAGAGACGCCUAUUUCUAUAUGGAGGGCGGUGGUGGUUUUCAAAGAGUAAGUGAUGUAGGAGUCUAAGUGCAGAGGAUCAGCGGGGCCCCAGCAAGGGAAAAGACAUGCUAGGCAGCCAUGUCGUCUUUGGCUGAGCAUCGUGGUGGGAACAUACCUGGAACAGGGUACAUGCCAGAGGAG
rnacentral:lncRNA from 1 species